GAAGAAACUGAAGAAACAUACAGAAGUGCUUUGUUGUCAUGCAGAUUUAGUUUAAAUACUUGCUGUCGUUAAAUUGAAAGUAUUUACAUCAUGCAUAUUAAAUAUAUACGGUAAAAUGGAUUCCGAUAUUGACACCCCGAGAUCACCUAGACUGUCGUCACGAGCACGACGGAUGCAGAGUCGGGAGCGGUAGACGCUGAAAAUCAGCGACGGUGAAUCUACCACAGAGGACGCUGUGGACUGCGACAGCCGAGCGGGAGGUGCCUGAAGACAGAUGCCGUCACCACAGCAGGCGCUGACGACGGGGCCUCUCUCAGAUGACCAGUACGAAGAAGGCGACGCUCAAGAGGGACUUACAGUGGAGGACGUCAUCAAGUUUGUAACUAAAGUAUUGUAAUUUGAAAAAAAAAAAUAUCUGAAUUCAGAGAAAAAAGUCAUUAGAUAAUUGCAUCUGUUAAUUACAAACCUGAGUAAGCCGUUAAUGUAAUCACGUAGCUUCCCCAAAACAUUAUUUCCAUAAACAGUUCCUACAUUUACUAUGGAAGGUCUAAAAAUUCGAUUAUUGAUGUCAAUUAUUAUCGCUCAUGCUGUGGUAGUUGUUUCUUUCUUCUUAUUCUAAUAUAUCAGGCAAAAUUUUAUUGCUCGCGUCAUGUUUGUUAUACUUAAGUAGAACUUAAUUGAAAAUAAGUAUGUUACAGUACUAAAAUCAAUGCAAUGAAAUUUGGGCUUAUAUUCUAUAAGCACGUGCCGAUAAUAAUGUGUCUAUAACCCUGCGUGUAAUUAGGUAAAAUAACUUAUCGUAUGGGGAUGUAAAUUUUAGUAAAAGUAAAGGGGUUGACAGUGUGGACGAUGUAUUUAAAUAUCCCUUUUUAUGUAACAAUAAUACUAGUCUGAAGAAUAAAUACCGUUUACAUCUGCAAUACCUGCUACCAUGAGUAAAUUAAAUAAUUUGAAGUUUAGCUCUACUUGAGUUGCUGUAAUUCUUUGUAUUAUUUUAUUGUAUUCUGGUGUACAAUGAAGAGUAUUGGUAUUGUAUAAACAGACUACUUUUAACUAAUAGAAUUGAAAAGGCAAUAGGCAACACGGCCGAGUGUGAUAUUAUUGUUGAUCGUGCACCGGAGGUAGCACGCAGUCGGAUGGCCGAGUGUGAUAUUUCAUAAGAUUUCAAGAAUAAAUUAUAAUUAUUUUG